GGGGUCCCCGGGGGGGUCCCGGGGUGGGGCGAGUGCCCCACUCCCACCCCGUAGCCGUCGGGCACCAGCGGCCCCCGCAGCGGCCAGCAGGGCUCGCGGGAAUGCACCUGGGGGGGGAAAAAUAGUCAAAAAGGGAGAAUCGGCCCCAAAAUGGACCCCCCCACACACAGCAACCCCCCCACUGGCACUGAAUGGCCAGAAAGUGACCCCAAAUAGCCCCAAAGUGAUCCCAAAUAGCCCCAAAAUGACCCCAAAUAGCCCCAAACUGACCUCAAAUACCCAUAAACACCCCCAAAUAUCCAUAAACUGACCCUAAAUAGCCCCAAACUGACCCUAAAUAUCACCAAAAGGCCCCAAAUAUCAUUAAAAGGCCCCCAAUGUCACCAAAAGGCUCCCAAAUACCCAGAAAUUGACCCUAAAUAUCACUAAACUGGCCCCAAAUAUCCCCAAACUGACCCCAGGUUCCCCAAAUCCACCCCAAAUCCAAACACUGGGGCAUUUGGGGGCACGUUGCUGUUAUUUUGGGGCACUUUGGGCCACAUUUGUGUCAUUUUGGAUCACUUUGGGCCACAUUUGUGCUAUUUAGGGCCAAAUUUGUGUCAUUUUGUGUCACUUUGGGCCACAUUAGUGCUAUUUAGGCCACAUUUGUCCUAUUUAGGGCCAAAUUCCUGUCAUUUUGUGUCACUCUGGGCCACAUUUAUGCUAUUUAGAACCAAAUUCCUGUCAUUUUGUGUCACUUUGGGCCAUAUUAGUGGUAUUUAGGCCACAUUUGAGCUAUUUAGGUUCAAAUUCCUGCCAUUUCUUGUCACUUUGGGCCACAUUUCUGUCAUUUAGGUCCUAUUUUCUGUCAUUUUCUGCCACUUUGGGCCACAUUUGUGCUACUUAGGUCCAAAUUCCUGUCAUUUUGUGUCACUUUGGGCCACAUUUAUGCUAUUUAGAACCAAAUUCCUGUCAUUUC
rnacentral:lncRNA from 1 species